CUGAUGGUUUUAUUACGUAUAUUUGUUUUAGGUCGCGAUACAAAUACUUGUGCUUAUAUCAAAAGACGUCUAGCGAUGUGUGCAAGAAAAUUAGGUCGUGUUAAAGAAGCAGUGAAAUUAAUGAAAGAGGUAAAAUCCACUAGCUUCUGACGCGGAACCCGUACAUUCAAUAAUGAUUUGUAAAAAUUUCUUUUACAAAAGUACUUUUACAAAAUACAAAACAACGGUAACUCCGAAACUGAUCAUUUUUAACGAAAGCUAGAAUAUUUAAAAUGUUCAUUUUCGGAGUUACCGCGUUAUGUAUUGUUAUUUUUAAUAAAUCAUUUGUCUUACUGUCUUCAAAAGUUACGUUGUCGAUUGCCGAACACAGCUUUCACAUGUACAUUAGGAUUGUUCAUAUAAAUUUUUUGAGGUAAUUAUGAAAACGCUUAACUGUAAUUUGAGCCUACGGCGUGCAAUUUUACAGCGAGCAACGAAACACUAAACUUUUAAAAAAGUUUCCGUACGUGUUAUCAGUUUCAGUAUAGCACUUACCUCGACCUUGACCAGAGUGCGAUAAUUCCCGUACUUAUCUACCUGAGGUGCGCCAGUAUUACGGUCUGGUACUUCUUUAUUUUAAGCCACGGACCACGUAGGUACGCGAAACUCUUGCUAUCUGCGCACUUACUUUUUGCUGGUACCAUGCCUUUCCAAGCCCAAGGUAUUCAAUACCGUAAUUUAGUUGGUAUAUCAUGUGUCUGACAUGUCUUGGCAUAAAAUACGAUUGGACUGAUGGCACUAAGAAACGUUGGAGUCGAUUGUUUGUAUAUGCAUCGUGCUUCUUUUUCUACCCCGUAGUCUGAACAUAUUUUUC